rfam:Dipodomys ordii contig_3647, whole genome shotgun sequence.
GGGAAUGUGGCUUAAUGGUAGAGCGCUUGCCUAGCAUGCAUGAAGCCCUGGGUUCGAUUCCUCAGUACCA